rnacentral:rRNA from 1 species
AUUGAACGCUGGCGGCAGGCCUAACACAUGCAAGUCGAGCGGAUGAAGGGAGCUUGCUCCUGGAUUCAGCGGCGGACGGGUGAGUAAUGCCUAGGAAUCUGCCUGGUAGUGGGGGAUAACGUCCGGAAACGGGCGCUAAUACCGCAUACGUCCUGAGGGAGAAAGUGGGGGAUCUUCGGACCUCACGCUAUCAGAUGAGCCUAGGUCGGAUUAGCUAGUUGGUGGGGUAAAGGCCUACCAAGGCGACGAUCCGUAACUGGUCUGAGAGGAUGAUCAGUCACACUGGAACUGAGACACGGUCCAGACUCCUACGGGAGGCAGCAGUGGGGAAUAUUGGACAAUGGGCGAAAGCCUGAUCCAGCCAUGCCGCGUGUGUGAAGAAGGUCUUCGGAUUGUAAAGCACUUUAAGUUGGGAGGAAGAGCAGUAAGUUAAUACCCUGCUGUUUUGACGUUACCAACAGAAUAAGCACCGGCUAACUUCGUG